ACCCACCGCAGUGGAAGGGCAACACUUGAGGGCAACGACGCCCAAAACAGACGAAAGGUGCGGCAGUCAUGGCGCCCCCCAUUGGCCGCAUCGCCACCGACGUUGUGGUCCGCUCGUCGAAGCGCGUGCCCUCUCUAGCCGCACCACGCAGCCACCCUCUCGCCACCACUAUCAUCUGUGCCUCUCUUCGCUCCACGGUCACUGCUGCGGCUGUUGCUGAACCAGUCACCGUCGCGUCUCCGGCGAGCGCGCUGGUGUGCAGCAGCCGCACCUUCUACGACAAGAUCCGCGAGAAGCGGGACGGGAGUGAAGACGAGGGGCCAGAUCAGAUGUUUCAGGACUUCCCCAAGGGCCCGAACCGGCAGCGUGUCCCGGCUGAGCUGCACAGGAGCAAUCAAGCCGCGGUCGAAGACGCCGAGAAGCUCAGCCGGGCUUUCUGCGUCUUUCUCUUGCUGCUGUUUGUCGGCUUGCUCUCCGUGCUGAACCCGUUCCAGAGCGACCCGUACGGCCGCCCCGAUGGGUACGGGAUGACGGAGCCAAGGCUGGUCUACGGCAGCAGCGACCUCGCCUGCCGCAGCAGCGGCAGCGGCCGCCGGCGCGAAGAGGACGAUAUGCGGAGCAUCAGACGGCUCGCGUAGAGGGUGCGUGGCGAACAGAGAAGUGGAUGGGUGCAGAGGAGCGAUAUGCGCGACAUGUACCCCCGCCCCAUGCGCUGUUGCGAGCUUGUCUGUUGGUUUUGUGUCUGCGGCCCACUCGCCGCCCCUGCUCCUUUUAUCGCUGUCCCUUGUGAUCCACUGCCGGGCGCACCGCAUCACACGGGCGAAAAAGGACAGCGCCCCACCCACCCACCCCCCUCUCUCUCUCUCUCUUGUGGUCUCGUGUUGUAAGCUGUCCGUCUGCGGGAGUCACUGACGUAUUUGAAGGAUGGAGAAGGCAUAUAUGUGUAUGCGAAGGCUGAUGUGAUGGGGUGAGGGGAGGGGGGAGGGGCCCUACUCCCUCCCUCCCCGGUUUCUUCAGCGCAUGCGCACGCUCGCACGCACCCCCUUCCAGCCACGCAGAUCAUCUUCGGCCUCCCCCCUCUCCUCUCUUUUUCCCGCUGCUGUCCGGCGCUGGCCUGUGUGUACUCGUGCGCUUUUCCUGCCCCCUCCUUCGCUCUCCAUGCCACCCUCCCUCCCUCCUCCGAUCCUGUGUUUGGUUAG
rnacentral:misc_RNA from 1 species